ACAACCGCAUAUAUUGCCCUAAAACCAUUUUGUAAUCAGAACACCAUCUGAAAUGGACGUAAACGUGCUGAACAAAAUAACGGAUACGUUAUCUACAUAAGCACGUCUGCGGUACAUCAUAUUGUUUGUAGAAAAGGUACACACGACUACUCAACGCAAUAGCAGGAGUUCUAGGAACUCUGAAAGACAAAACGGCUAUUCCCGUGGAACGAAAUGGGUACGCUGCCAAAUCCAAAUAAGUUGAGGUGCGGUUAUCCAUAGUCUGUGUGGUCACGAGCCUAAAUCCGCACAAAAUUAAAAACAAUUUUGCUGAAUGGUAGGUGAGUGUGAAGGACACUUCCGUAACUCGACACGGUACGGAAGUCAAAUGGUAGCUCCAUUUGGCUCAGCCCGUACUAUUAUGUGACUGAAUAUUCUGUGCAAUGUAGAUGUUUGUAUAAGCCGUACACUAUCGUGGCGGUGAAAACGUUA
rnacentral:sRNA from 12 species